rnacentral:rRNA from 1 species
UACGUAGGGGGCAAGCGUUGUCCGGAAUCAUUGGGCGUAAAGCGCGUGUAGGCGGCCCGAUAAGUCCGCUGUGAAAGUCCAGGGCUCAACCCUGGAAUGCCGGUGGAUACUGUCGGGCUCGAGUCCGGAAGAGGCGAGUGGAAUUCCUGGUGUAGCGGUGAAAUGCGCAGAUAUCGGGAGGAACACCAAUGGCGAAGGCAGCUCGCUGGGACGGUACUGACGCUGAGACGCGAAAGCGUGGGGAGCAAACAGG